rnacentral:rRNA from 1 species
UACGUAGGGGGCAAGCGUUGUCCGGAUUUACUGGGCGUAAAGCGCGUGUAGGCGGCCACGCAGGUCCGUUGUGAAAACUAGAGGCUCAACCCCUAGACGUCGACGGAAACCGUGUGGCUAGAGUCCGGAAGAGGAGAGUGGAAUUCCUGGUGUAGCGGUGAAAUGCGCAGAUAUCAGGAAGAACACCAAUGGCGAAGGCAGCUCUCUGGGACGGUACUGACGCUGAGACGCGAAAGCGUGGGGAGCGAACAGG